rnacentral:rRNA from 1 species
AUUGAACGCUGGCGGCAGGCCUAACACAUGCAAGUCGAGCGGUUGCAGGAAGCUUCCUCCUGGUUCCCGGGCGGGAGGGGGGCGUAUUGCUAAGGAAUCGGCCUGUGCGUGGGGGAUAAGGUCCGCAACCGGGAGCUAUUACCAAUACCGCCUUGCGGGGGAAGGUGGGGGAUCUUCGGCCCCCGGCCUCUCGCCUGCGCCUAGGCCGGAUUGGCUAGUUGGUGGGGUAAGGGCACACCAAGGCGACGAUCCGUAACUGGUCUGAGAGGAUGAUCAGCCACACUGGAACUGAGACACGGUCCAGACUCCUACGGGAGGCAGCAGUGGGGAAUAUUGGACAAUGGGCGAAAGCCUGAUCCAGCCAUGCCGCGUGUGUGAAGAAGGUCUUCGGAUUGUAAAGCACUUUAAGUUGGGAGGAAGGGCAGUAAGUUAAUACCUUGCUGUUUUGACGUUACCAACAGAAUAAGCACCGGCUAACUUCGUG